rnacentral:rRNA from 1 species
GACGAACGCUGGCGGCGUGCUUAACACAUGCAAGUCGAACGGAAAGGCCCUGCUUUUGUGGGGUGCUCGAGUGGCGAACGGGUGAGUAACACGUGAGUAACCUGCCCUUGACUUUGGGAUAACUUCAGGAAACUGGGGCUAAUACCGGAUAGGAGCUCCUGCUGCGUGGUGGGGGUUGGAAAGUUUCGGCGGUUGGGGAUGGACUCGCGGCUUAUCAGCUUGUUGUUGGGGUAGUGGCUUACCAAGGCUUUGACGAGUAGCCGGCCUGAGAGGGUGACCGGCCACAUUGGGACUGAGAUACGGACCAGACUCCUACGGGAGGCAGCAGUGGGGAAUAUUGCACAAGGGGCGGAAGCCUGAUACAGCAACGCCGCGUGCGGGAUGACGGCCUUCGGGUUGUAAACCGCUUUCGCCUGUGACGAAGCGUGAGUGACGGUAAUGGGUAAAGAAGCACCGGCUAACUACGUG